rnacentral:rRNA from 1 species
UACGUAGGGUGCGAGCGUUGUCCGGAAUUAUUGGGCGUAAAGAGCCCGUAGGCGGUGUGUCACGUCGGCCGUGAAAACCUGGGGCUUAACUCUGGGCGUGCGGUCGAUACGGGCAUCACUAGAGUUCGGCAGGGGAGACUGGAAUUCCUGGUGUAGCGGUGAAAUGCGCAGAUAUCAGGAGGAACACCGGUGGCGAAGGCGGGUCUCUGGGCCGAUACUGACGCUGAGGAGCGAAAGCAUGGGUAGCGAACAGG